rnacentral:tRNA from 2 species
GGACAGAUGAGUGAGCGGUUUAAACUAGCGGUUUACUAAACCGCCGUACUUGAAAGAGUACCGUGGGUCCGAAUCCCACUCUGUCCGCCA